UUAAAGAACUAAAAACAUUUCCACACCUAGAAUAUUUAGAAAAUAACAGUUUUUAAACACAAAUGUUGUAUAUGGGUAUGCAUGCACUUGUGUAGUAUAUUCUGUCAGUACUGAGAAGAUAUACUUCUGUCUUUGGACAAUGAACUUCUUCAGAGAAUCAAGAUAAGAAUUUAUGUUCUCUCUGUCCUGUGCUUAUUCGCAAGGCUCUGGAAAUCUUGGAAUCAUGACUUUCUGGCAAGAAAAUCUUACAAAGUGGAGAAAUCAGUUGAUGCUUGUCAUUGGAACUUCAAGGUAUUUUCUUCUCUGUUUUACAUUAACAAGAGGUGUAUGUAACCUUGAAUCAGCUUUGGAGAGAAAUGGAAUCUCAUGACAUUCAUACUGGUUUCCACCUCCAUCUAACUACCUGGCAUCCGGACGAUAUUAUGUGUAGUCCAGUAUGUUCCAUGAUGUUCUUUCAGUAUGGUAAUCAACAUGGACUUUUGGGCUGGGAGGCACAGAAGUUGUUCAGAAAUGUAUGGUGUUGGAAACUAGAUAUUCCAUAAAUGAACCAGGCAGAUAGCCAUUUUCUUCAUGUAGAAACAUCAUUAAUCUUGUAUAUGGAAACAGAAAUGUGGUUACUAUUGACUGAGCUCUUUUCGUCUAAAAGAAUGCCACGUUUUUCUGUGGAAAUAUGCUGUCUCUGAAUUUUACUGUUUACUGUUUCAGGUGAGUUCAAUUUUCUUAUUUUUAUAAGUUAAAAGUAAUUUUGUUUAUCUAUGUACCAAUUAUUUUUGAAUGUGUAAAAUUUCCUUCAAUUUAUUUUAAUUUUCUGAUAUUUAAUGGCUGAAUUGUUUGUAUAUUUCAGAAAAAAAUACCAGAGUUCAGAAGUAGAAAGGCAGAUAAAUGCCAGUUUAAUUUUUUCUGUUUACCAAAAGCAGUUUCCUAAGAUAUCUUCCUCAAAUAUCUGACAAGUAGCACCAAAAAAAUCCUCCUUAAUUGUUUGUCAGUUUUCAUGUAUUUAUUUUGAACCUAUACUGACUUUUCUACAGAUAACCCUGAGUAUAUCAGUAACUUCCAAUGGAUUUUUUUAAUGUGGUGAGAAAGCAUUUCAUCUAAAUUGAAGCCUUAUGUUCAGCAAUGGUUCAUCAUCAUGGGACAGUCUUUGUGCGAAGCUCACUGCAAUGGCCACUGCAGUUCCUUGUCCUGCACACGGCGUGUGUCAUCCAAGGGGGCUGAAGGGAGGAGGCGGUGGUUGGUGCUGGGGAGAAAGGAUGGGAAGAAGAAGGCUAUGUCAAUUUGCGAUUUAGAGAAAACAAAAACAGCUUAGUCUUGAUGACUAAAAUCCAAGACCGGAACCUGGCAAUUAUGAGCUGGAAUGUAUUCAUGCAAUUUAUGAGUAACCCUAUUUUCAGCUGAAACAUAAUUCAGAAGAAUAACUCAUUGCUUGAAAGAAAGCCCAGGUAUAUCGGCACAGUCACUAAAAAACAUUGCUAUUGUGCUUCCAGAAGCUCUUUAUUACUGAAAGGAAUAUAAAUAGAAAACCUCCCUCACCUGGGGCUUCAAAAUGUAGUCAUUUACAGGCAUUUUACUUUCUUUGUGUUAAAAAAAAUAAAAUCAUCAUCGUCCUUUUACAAUUUUUGUUAAAAGAUUUGUUAUAGAACAACUUAAUAACAUAACAUAUUUUUUAUGGAAUAAAUAUUUCUAACCUGUGCUUAAACUGAAUAUCAUAGAAAUGUUUUUCUGAAGGUCACAGUGAAGCUACUCUCACUACAGUUUUGUUCUUUUGUUUUUUUUUUAAUUCAGCAAGAAGCUGUUUGAAUCGGAACAUCGUGUCUUUGGUUCCUGUUAAGCAUCUCUCUGACAUGCAGAAUAAUCAAGACCUUCUGGUGAAAAUUCAUUGGCCUUGAACAUGACCGAUGAACAUAUGAGGCUGCUUUACUAAUGAAAUUUUAUGGAUCUGCAUCAUGUUUAUGCUGAAAGGUGAGGUCACUCCCAUCUCAUAAGAAUCUGACACCCAGCACAGUGAGUGUCUGAAACAUAAAACUGGUAUUUGAUAACUUUUAUUGAAGCAACAAAUGAAUGAA